GAUGAACGCUAGCUACAGGCUUAACACAUGCAAGUCGAGGGGCAGCGGAGGAGUUAGCUUGCUAACUUCAGACGGCGACCGGCGCACGGGUGAGUAACACGUAUCCAACCUGGCCGUUACUCGGGAAUAGCCUUCCGAAAGGAAGAUUAAUGCUCGAUGGUAUAUAUUUAUCGCAUGACUUAUAUAUUAAAGAUUUAUCGGUAGCGGAUGGGGAUGCGUUCCAUUAGAUAGUUGGCGGGGUAACGGCCAACCAAGUCUUCGAUGGGUAGGGGUUCUGAGAGGAAGGUCCCCCACACUGGAACUGAGACACGGUCCAGACUCCUACGGGAGGCAGCAGUGAGGAAUAUUGGUCAAUGGACGCAAGUCUGAACCGGCCAAGUAGCGUGAAGGAUGACUGCCCUAUGGGUUGUAAACUUCUUUUAUACGGGAAUAAAAGACAUUACGUGUAGUGUUUUGCAUGUACCGUUAUGAAUAAGCAUCGGCUAAUUCCGUGCCAGCAGCCGCAGUAAGAC
rnacentral:rRNA from 1 species